GACUCGGUGGCGGAUGGUCCGCGUCUGCGCCACAUAUCGAAAUCCCAUUCUGCAUAAGGCAGAAGUCGCCUGUUCGAUCCAGGCCCGAGUCA